rnacentral:rRNA from 1 species
UACGAAGGGGGCUAGCGUUGCUCGGAAUUACUGGGCGUAAAGCGCACGUAGGCGGUUCGUACAGUCAGACGUGAAAUUCCUGGGCUCAACCUGGGGGCUGCGUUUGAUACGUGCGGACUUGAGUGCGGAAGAGGGUCGUGGAAUUCCCAGUGUAGAGGUGAAAUUCGUAGAUAUCGGGAGGAACACCAGUGGCGAAGGCGGCGAUCUGGGAAGAUACUGACGCUGAGGUGCGAAAGCGUGGGGAGCAAACAGG